rnacentral:rRNA from 1 species
UACAGAGGGUGCGAGCGUUGUCCGGAAUUACUGGGCGUAAAGGGCGCGUAGGCGGCUUGAUAAGCGUGCGGUGAAAGCCCGGGGCUCAACCCGGGUCGGCCGUGCGAACUGUCGAGCUGGAGCACUGUAGAGGCAGGUGGAAUUCCGGGUGUAGCGGUGGAAUGCGUAGAGAUCCGGAAGAACGCCCGUGGCGAAGGCGGCUCUCUGGAACGCAACUGACGCUGAGACGCGAAAGCGUGGGGAGCAAACAGG